rnacentral:lncRNA from 1 species
CGUUAUUUAUGCUUACUAAAUAUUGGUGGGUCAAGUUGUCCGUCGUCACCAUGAGAGUUAUGGAGAGGGGCAAACUGCUGGAGAACCAUCUCGCAUAUCUUCUGGGUGAUAGGAUCAAUUCCCUUGGACGGAGGCCCCCCUCCGGCUCCGGUCUGAAAUAGCCCCCGCCUCUCCUCUGCUGCAUCCUUUUUGGCUUUCGCUUUGAAUUUUUUUUCCAGCAAGCUUUCAUCUGAUUUGGGUCCCUGUUCUCUUUAAGCCAUUACAUUUGUCGCAUAAAAUGGCCCAGGUGUCUUGGUUCUUUUUGACAGUCGUGUUGUCUGUCUUUAUCUUCCAGUACGUUACUAAAUUCCUCCAUCUUCAGCUCCGACAAGAGUUUUGUUUCAUAAGCGGAGAAAUGUGAACUUCUUUGAUGUACCAUGAUCAGGUGGCAAGCGGACAAAUAAAACAUGGUUAAAUCACUAAAGGACCUGAGCUGUAGGACCAUGCCUCAGGACUACCUGGCCUGAUGACUCCUUGUUGUCCCCAGUCUACCCGGUGGUGCUGCUGCCCCAGUUUCAACUCUUCUGCCUGCGGCUAUGGAACCCUGACCUGUUCCCCGGACAUGCUACCUUGUCCCGGACCUGCUGUUUCGACUCUCUCUUUCUACCGCACCUGCUGUAUCUGACUCUGAAUGAUUGGCUAUGAAAAGCCAACUGGCAUUUACUCCUGUGGUGCUGACUGUAGCACCCUCUACAACCACUGUGAUUAUUAUUAUUUGACCCUGCUGGUCAUCUAUGAACGUUUGAACAUCUUGGCCAUCUACUAUUAUAAUCUCUACCCGGCAUAGCUAGAAGAGGACUGGCCACCCCUCAGAGCCUGGUUCCUCUCUAGGUUUCUUCCUAGGUUCCUGCCUUUCUAGGGAAUUUUAUUUGUGUCCCUGUCUUUGUCAAAGUGGGCACUGCUUAUCACAGGGCGGCAUCAGCUCUCACCUAAAAAGCUCAUAUGCCACUGGUUGAAAGAAAUUGUCAUUGUUUUUGGGCAGAAUUAUGUGAUGUUUUAUGUGUUGUUGGUGUGUCUUGGUCAGUUUAGC